rnacentral:miRNA from 1 species
UUUGUUGUAACAAGCUGUUAACAAGCUGUAAAGAAGCUGUUAACAAUUUGUAACAAGCUUGAUGGCAUUAUCAGCCUUGCUACAAGACUGUGCGAACAAGUUUGUUACGACCAUGAUAUAACAAGGAUGUUAUAAGGUUGUCAACACAAGGUUGUAACAAACUUGUUAUAUCAAGCAUGUAACGGACUUGUCAGAACAACUUUGCAACUAGUCUGAUAACUUCGACAAGGUUGUUACAAGUUGUUCCAAACCUGUUGACAACUUGUGACAAGCAG